AUACGUAGGUGGCAAGCGUUAUCCGGAUUUACUGGGUGUAAAGGGCGCGUAGGCGGGAAUGCAAGUCAGAUGUGAAAUCUCCGGGCUUAACCCGGAAACUGCAUUUGAAACUGCAUUUCUUGAGUGUCGGAGAGGUAGAUGGAAUUCCUAGUGUAGCGGUGAAAUGCGUAGAUAUUAGGAGGAACACCAGUGGCGAAGGCGAUCUACUGGACGAUAACUGACGCUGAGGCGCGAAAGCGUGGGGAGCAAACAGGAUUAGAUACCCUGGUAGUCCACGCUGUAAACGAUGAAUACUAGGUGUGGGGGGACUGACCCCCUCCGUGCCGCAGUUAACACAAUAAGUAUUCCACCUGGGGAGUACGACCGCAAGGUUGA
rnacentral:rRNA from 1 species